rnacentral:rRNA from 1 species
AUCCUGGCUCAGGAUGAACGCUGGCGGUAUGCUUAACACAUGCAAGUCGAACGGUCUCUUCGGAGAUAGUGGCGGACGGGUGAGUAACGCGUGAGAAUCUGGCUUCAGGUCGGGGACAACCACUGGAAACGGUGGCUAAUACCGGAUAUGCCGAGAGGUGAAAGGCUUGCCGCCUGAAGAUGAGCUCGCGUCUGAUUAGCUAGUAGGUGUGGUAAAGGCGCACCUAGGCGACGAUCAGUAGCUGGUCUGAGAGGAUGAUCAGCCACACUGGGACUGAGACACGGCCCAGACUCCUACGGGAGGCAGCAGUGGGGAAUUUUCCGCAAUGGGCGAAAGCCUGACGGAGCAAUACCGCGUGAGGGAGGAAGGCUCUUGGGUUGUAAACCUCUUUUCUCAGGGAAGAAAAAAAUGACGGUACCUGAGGAAUAAGCAUCGGCUAACUCCGUGCCAGCAGCCGCGGUAAUACGGAGGAUGCAAGCGUUAUCCGGAAUGAUUGGGCGUAAAGGGUCCGCAGGUGGCUAUGUAAGUCUGCUGUUAAAGAACUUAGCUUAACUAGGUAAAAGCAGUGGAAACUACAAGGCUAGAGUGCGUUCGGGGUAGAGGGAAUUCCUGGUGUAGCGGUGAAAUGCGUAGAUAUCAGGAAGAACACCAGUGGCGAAGGCGCUCUACUAGGCCGCAACUGACACUGAGGGACGAAAGCUAGGGGAGCGAAUGGGAUUAGAUACCCCAGUAGUCCUAGCCGUAAACGAUGAUGGAUACUAGGCGUGGCUUUGUAUCGACCCGAGCCGUGCCCGGAGCUAACGCGUUAAGUAUCCCGCCUGGGGAGUACGCAGGCAACUGUGAAACUCAAAGGAAUUGACGGGGGCCCGCACAAGCGGUGGAGUAUGUGGUUUAAUUCGAUGCAACGCGAAGAACCUUACCAAGACUUGACAUGUCGCGAAUCUUUCUGAAAGGAGAGAGUGCCUUCGGGAGCGCGAACACAGGUGUGUGCAUGGCUGUCGUCAGCUCCCCUCGUGAGAAAAAAAGAAUAAGUCCCGCAACGAGCGCAACCCUCGUUUUUAGUUGCCAGCAUUAAGUUGGGCACUCUAGAGAGACUGCCGGUGACAAACCGGAGGAAGGUGGGGAUGACGUCAAGUCAGCAUGCCCCUUACGUCUUGGGCUACACACGUACUACAAUGCUACGGACAAAGGGUAGCUACACAGCAAUGUGAUGCCAAUCUCAGAAACCGUAGCUCAGUUCAGAUCGCAGGCUGCAACUCGCCUGCGUGAAGGAGGAAUCGCUAGUAAUUGCAGGUCAGCAUACUGCAGUGAAUUCGUUCCCGGGCCUUGUACACACCGCCCGUCACACCAUGGAAGCUGGUCACGCCCGAAGUCGUUACCCCAACUUUUCGGAGAGGGGGAUGCCGAAGGCAGGA